CUCAUGAAGAUAAAUAUCAGUGAAGGGGUUAAAUUGCUUGAGAAGCUCCUCGAUGGAAGAAAAUUGAUCAAGCCUCUUUUCCGCAAGGGAUUGUUCUUCCGUGGAUUCCAUACUACCUAUGGUGGUCUGUCAAGGAUAUCUUUAAUAUCCCGCUUGAAGAUACC